GCGUCGCUACGUAUAAGCGACUUCCGGUGACGUCAGACGCAAGGACUUACGGACUUUUCCAGCCCACCCUCCUCUCCCAGGCUGCUCUGCGCUCCCAGUGUCACUUGGAGGAGACACGAUGGUUCCACCGGUGCAGGUGUCCCCGGCCAUUAAGUUUGCCAGAUACUCUGCACUGUUGCUUGGGAUGGCAUAUGGAAGUGCAAGGUUCUCAUAUUUAAAACCAUUUGCUGAGGAGGACAGAAGGAUAGAAGCAGAGGAAAAAAAGAAGCAGGAGGAAGCGGCACGCAUUGCAAGAGAAUUGGCAGCCCAAGAAGACACCAUACUGAAAUGAUAUUAUUCCCAGCGGGAUCUUCUUCAAUAAACUUCCCAGGGACACUGCAGUCAAUUACCAUUCUUGCAUAAACUGUUCAGAGGACUUCUUUUGUAAAUGUGCUUCAAAUAUAUGUGAAACAUGUAAUAAAAAUUCCAACUGUUAUGCAGCUGA